AUGCUCUGGUUUCUCUUCAAAUCGUAUAAAUCUUUCGCCUUUUACUAAAGAUUUCUGUGGAGAAUCCUGGGUUCUUCUCCAGGCUUCGUGACAUUCAGUCAUUCAUUC
rnacentral:snRNA from 2 species